AGGCCUAAAAAAGGGUAGUUGUGGUUGGCUCUGCCUUUGCUGUCUUUACCUGAAUAGAGGUCAGGCCCGGGUCCAGGGGAGCGUCCCACGGUCCCUUCAGCAGCAGCAUCUCUAGGGGAAGUGGCCGGCUGCAGGGGCUGCACGGUGAGGCAAUCUGUGAGCAGGUCUGGAUGGAGCUCUGUGCUGGACCGCAACUAAGAGGAGAAAACGGAAGAGACAUCGAUAAGGAGAGCUGGUCCUUGGAAUAUUUUCCUGGGAAGGCAUCAUGCUCUAUCAGUGCAACUCAGCCCACAAAAAUUUAUCAAGCAGCAACUACGGGUCCUCUGAACGGGCUACACCAUGGUUGAGCCACUGUGACCCCUGUGACCCACAGGUCCAGGCCUCCUGGAGUCACAAAGCUUUGAGCAACAGGAGAACCACUAAAGAAGAAGAAACAGCUAGCUCCUGCCUUAACUCAUUAACCGACCUUGCAACAUUCCACCAUUGUGAUAUGUUCCUGCCCUACCCUAAAUAAUCAAUCGGCCUUGUGAUAUCCUGCCAUGUGAACUCCCUCCACCUCGUGACUAUGCACCUUGUGACAUUCUUCCCCUGCCCGAAAAGACUGCCCCAACUGUAACUUUCCACUACCUAUCCCAAACCUAUAAAACCAGUUCCACUCCCACCACCCUUCACUGACUCCCUUUUCAGACUCAGCCCGCUCGCACCGGAGUGAAUAAACAGCCUUGUUGCUCACA
rnacentral:antisense_RNA from 1 species